UACCAGUUCUCCGAGUGGUGUGGAUGUUUAUUGGGCCUAAAGCAUCCGUAGCUGGCUGGACAAGUCCCCUGUUAAAUCCACCGAUUUAAUCGUUGGAGUGCGGGGGAUACUGUUCGGCUAGGGGACGGGAGAGGCAGACGGUAUUUUCGGGGUAGGGGUGAAAUCCUAUAAUCCCGGGAAGACCACCAGUGGCGAAGGCUGUCUGCUAGAACGCGCCCGACGGUGAGGGAUGAAAGCUGGGGGAGCGAACCGGAUUAGAUACCCGGGUAGUCCCAGCUGUAAACGAUGCAGGCUAGGUGUUUGGGCGGCCACGUGCCGCUCUAGUGCCGCAGGGAAGCCGUUAAGCCUGCCGCCUGGGGAGUACGGCCGCAAGGCUGAAACUUAAAGGAAUUGGCGGGGGAGCACCACAAGGGGUGAAGCUUGCGGUUU
rnacentral:rRNA from 1 species